UUAAGCGACUAAGCGUACACGGUGGAUGCCCUGGCAGUCAGAGGCGAUGAAGGACGUGCUAAUCUGCGAUAAGCGUCGGUAAGGUGAUAUGAACCGUUAUAACCGGCGAUUUCCGAAUGGGGAAACCCAGUGUGUUUCGACACACUAUCAUUAACUGAAUCCAUAGGUUAAUGAGGCGAACCGGGGGAACUGAAACAUCUAAGUACCCCGAGGAAAAGAAAUCAACCGAGAUUCCCCCAGUAGCGGCGAGCGAACGGGGAGSAGCCCAGAGCCUGAAUCAGUGUGUGUGUUAGUGGAAGCGUCUGGAAAGGCGCGCGAUACAGGGUGACAGCCCCGUACACAAAAAUGCACAURYUGUGAGCUCGAUGAGUAGGGCGGGACACGUGGUAUCCUGUCUGAAUAUGGGGGGACCAUCCUCCAAGGCUAAAUACUCCUGACUGACCGAUAGUGAACCAGUACCGUGAGGGAAAGGCGAAAAGAACCCCGGCGAGGGGAGUGAAAAAGAACCUGAAACCGUGUACGUACAAGCAGUGGGAGCACGCUUAGGCGUGUGACUGCGUACCUUUUGUAUAAUGGGUCAGCGACUUAUAUUCUGUAGCAAGGUUAACCGAAUAGGGGAGCCGAAGGGAAACCGAGUCUUAACUGGGCGUUAAGUUGCAGGGUAUAGACCCGAAACCCGGUGAUCUAGCCAUGGGCAGGUUGAAGGUUGGGUAACACUAACUGGAGGACCGAACCGACUAAUGUUGAAAAAUUAGCGGAUGACUUGUGGCUGGGGGUGAAAGGCCAAUCAAACCGGGAGAUAGCUGGUUCUCCCCGAAAGCUAUUUAGGUAGCGCCUCGUGAAUUCAUCUCCGGGGGUAGAGCACUGUUUCGGCAAGGGGGUCAUCCCGACUUACCAACCCGAUGCAAACUGCGAAUACCGGAGAAUGUUAUCACGGGAGACACACGGCGGGUGCUAACGUCCGUCGUGAAGAGGGAAACAACCCAGACCGCCAGCUAAGGUCCCAAAGUCAUGGUUAAGUGGGAAACGAUGUGGGAAGGCCCAGACAGCCAGGAUGUUGGCUUAGAAGCAGCCAUCAUUUAAAGAAAGCGUAAUAGCUCACUGGUCGAGUCGGCCUGCGCGGAAGAUGUAACGGGGCUAAACCAUGCACCGAAGCUGCGGCAGCGACACURUGUGUUGUUGGGUAGGGGAGCGUUCUGUAAGCCUGYGAAGGUGURCUGUGAGGYAUGCUGGAGGUAUCAGAAGUGCGAAUGCUGACAUAAGUAACGAUAAAGCGGGUGAAAAGCCCGCUCGCCGGAAGACCAAGGGUUCCUGUCCAACGUUAAUCGGGGCAGGGUGAGUCGACCCCUAAGGCGAGGCCGAAAGGCGUAGUCGAUGGGAAACAGGUUAAUAUUCCUGUACUUGGUGUUACUGCGAAGGGGGGACGGAGAAGGCUAUGUUGGCCGGGCGACGGUUGUCCCGGUUUAAGCGUGUAGGCUGGUUUUCCAGGCAAAUCCGGAAAAUCAAGGCUGAGGCGUGAUGACGAGGCACUACGGUGCUGAAGCAACAAAUGCCCUGCUUCCAGGAAAAGCCUCUAAGCAUCAGGUAACAUCAAAUCGUACCCCAAACCGACACAGGUGGUCAGGUAGAGAAUACCAAGGCGCUUGAGAGAACUCGGGUGAAGGAACUAGGCAAAAUGGUGCCGUAACUUCGGGAGAAGGCACGCUGAUAUGUAGGUGAAGUCCCUCGCGGAUGGAGCUGAAAUCAGUCGAAGAUACCAGCUGGCUGCAACUGUUUAUUAAAAACACAGCACUGUGCAAACACGAAAGUGGACGUAUACGGUGUGACGCCUGCCCGGUGCCGGAAGGUUAAUUGAUGGGGUUAGCGCAAGCGAAGCUCUUGAUCGAAGCCCCGGUAAACGGCGGCCGUAACUAUAACGGUCCUAAGGUAGCGAAAUUCCUUGUCGGGUAAGUUCCGACCUGCACGAAUGGCGUAAUGAUGGCCAGGCUGUCUCCACCCGAGACUCAGUGAAAUUGAACUCGCUGUGAAGAUGCAGUGUACCCGCGGCAAGACGGAAAGACCCCGUGAACCUUUACUAUAGCUUGACACUGAACAUUGAGCCUUGAUGUGUAGGAUAGGUGGGAGGCUUUGAAGUGUGGACGCCAGUCUGCAUGGAGCCGACCUUGAAAUACCACCCUUUAAUGUUUGAUGUUCUAACGUKGACCCGURAUCCGGGUUGCGGACAGUGUCUGGUGGGUAGUUUGACUGGGGCGGUCUCCUCCUAAAGAGUAACGGAGGAGCACGAAGGUUGGCUAAUCCUGGUCGGACAUCAGGAGGUUAGUGCAAUGGCAUAAGCCAGCUUGACUGCGAGCGUGACGGCGCGAGCAGGUGCGAAAGCAGGUCAUAGUGAUCCGGUGGUUCUGAAUGGAAGGGCCAUCGCUCAACGGAUAAAAGGUACUCCGGGGAUAACAGGCUGAUACCGCCCAAGAGUUCAUAUCGACGGCGGUGUUUGGCACCUCGAUGUCGGCUCAUCACAUCCUGGGGCUGAAGUAGGUCCCAAGGGUAUGGCUGUUCGCCAUUUAAAGUGGUACGCGAGCUGGGUUUAGAACGUCGUGAGACAGUUCGGUCCCUAUCUGCCGUGGGCGCUGGAGAACUGAGGGGGGCUGCUCCUAGUACGAGAGGACCGGAGUGGACGCAUCACUGGUGUUCGGGUUGUCAUGCCAAUGGCACUGCCCGGUAGCUAAAUGCGGAAGAGAUAAGUGCUGAAAGCAUCUAAGCACGAAACUUGCCCCGAGAUGAGUUCUCCCUGACYCYUURAGRGUCCUGAAGGAACGUUGAAGACGACGACGUUGAUAGGCCGGGUGUGUAAGCGCAGCGAUGCGUUGAGCUAACCGGUACUAAUGAACCGUGAGGCUUAACCUU
rnacentral:rRNA from 1 species